CACCCGGUUGGGACUCGUGAGGAAAGAUGGGGAAAACAUUGGAAAAAUCAACAAAAACAAAGGAAAGAUGGAAAAAAUUUAAGGAACCAUCCUCUCCGAUGCCUCCAACCAUGCCAUGGACGGCCUUCCAUCUUCGCCAUGCUUAAUAUGGUCAAGGGCAUCGGCGCCUCGUCCAUCCACAUGUUCAUCAUGGGGAAGCUACGGGAAGAAGCGUCCUCUCGCCGUGCAGUAGAUGCUACCCAAAGAAACGAAGAAGAAGGGGGCAUUACCGACAUGUGGCGUGGCCAGCAUUUGACAUUUGGCGGCCGGGGAGAGCUGAACAUCCUCAGGAGUCCCAAUGGGGUGGAAGGCUUGAAGCGACGGAACAGGGAAGCUUAGAUGAUCGUUGGGGUUUUGUGUUGGGUAUUUUCUUUCUUUUUUCUUUUCUCUUUUCAUGAUCUUGCCGACGACGAUGGGGAGCAAGGCUGCGACAGCGCAGACCGGCGGGAGGUGCAUCUCUCUUUUUCGGAGCUGUGGGGCCGACGCCGGUGACGCUAGGGAGGAAGGCGAUGGCGGAGAACGGCGGAAGAUGGCGGCGAGGAGAGUAGAAAAAGACGGGCGUCGCGAGAGCUCGGGAAGAUUCCAGAGGGCUCGGGAAAUGUCGGAGAUUUUUUUUAAGAAAAAAAACCUUUUUUUUUAUCCUACACGCUGUUGCACGCCAUCUGUUCUUUAUGGAUUAUCGACACUUGUCGCGCUGAGAGGCUGA